UACGAAGGGGGCUAGCGUUGUUCGGAAUGACUGGGCGUAAAGCGCGCGUAGGCGGAUUGGCAAGUUGGGGGUGAAAUCCCGGGGCUCAACCUCGGAAUGGCCUUCAAGACUGCUGGUCUUGAGUUCGAGAGAGGUGAGUGGAAUUCCGAGUGUAGAGGUGAAAUUCGUAGAUAUUCGGAGGAACACCAGUGGCGAAGGCGGCUCACUGGCUCGACACUGACGCUGAGGUGCGAAAGCGUGGGGAGCAAACAGG
rnacentral:rRNA from 1 species